UAAAAGAGUAACAUCUAUAAAAAGAUAUUUCUAUAGGUUAUUUUCUACCUUAGAAGCAUCUUACCCUACAAUUUUGAAAACUCUUCAAAGUAAUUCACAAAUACAACACAGAAAAUAUGGCAUUAAUUACAAGACUUGUAACUAUAAAUCAGUGGUUAUCAACUGAGAAAAAGAUAACAUCAAUGCAAGUUUGAUGUAAACUCUACAACCCACUAUGAAGUAUUAAAAAGAAACCAUAUUUCAUCAACUCUACAAUGCAUAUUUUUUCACCUUUUAGUAUCUCUGAAAUUGGGAGUUUUUAAAGUGGCAGUAUCUUUGAUUUGAUGAAAUGCAAUAACGGUACAGUUAAUCCUAUACUUUUCUAUGACAGACACUGUUCUAGGUACUUUACAUGACAACUCCUUUUUACAGAUAAAACUGAAGCAUAGACAAGGUUGUAAAUUGAGUUAGUCAAUGAGAAGGCAU